AAUCCAUCUAUAAAUAUUCAAACACAACAACCACAUGGAAGCACUCUUGUGGAGCAGGGGUGGGGAACCUUUUUCUGCCAAGGGCCAUGUGGAUACUUAUAACAUCAUUCGUGAGCCAUACAAAAUUAACAACUUAAAAACUAGCCCGCUAUAUUUGAUCAUUUAACUAAGCUCCCUGCUUCUCUUUGGUGAGGCGCCCAUCAUGAGAGGCAGGUUACCCUCCUCACCCAGAUGUAUUUGGUGAGGUGUGUAGCUGGUAUUGAUGAUGUUACUACUCUCAACUGCUUUUUCAGGUCAGUCUGGAGUGCAGUCGACUCUGGGCGAUGGUAAGUUUUGAAAAGAACGGUUACAGGAUUCCAGGGCAGAGACAGGAAAACUGAAACAGGAAAGU